GUGCUCGCUUCAGCAGCACAUACAGUAAAAUUGGAAUGACGUGGAGAAGAUUAACAUGGCCCCUGAACAAGGAUAACUCGCAAAUUCAUGAAACGUUCCAUAGUUUU
ensembl:snRNA U6 U6 spliceosomal RNA